rnacentral:lncRNA from 1 species
UUAUUCAGAGAUUUGAGAGGAACUAAAGGCAACUUCAAGGAGCUCAGAAUCGGCGAAGUAAUCAAGACGGCGAAUCAAGUUCUUCGAGAAGAUCGGCGAAAUUAGGUUUUUGAUAAUUCUUUGUGUAAACCAAAUUCCAAUGUCUUCCUCUUCUGAUUUUGAUUUUUCUGUCGAGACUAUGAACGGCUAAACUUCUCUUGCUUGGAUUAGAUGAACCCUAGGAUAAUUCAUAUGAACGAAUGAUUUGAUAUGUUG